rnacentral:rRNA from 1 species
AUUGAACGCUGGCGGCAGGCUUAACACAUGCAAGUCGAGCGAGCGGCGGACGGGUGAGUAAUGUCUGGGAAACUGCCUGAUGGAGGGGGAUAACUACUGGAAACGGUAGCUAAUACCGCAUACCAUCAGAUGUGCCCAGAUGGGAUUAGCUAGUAGGUGGGGUAAUGGCUCACCUAGGCGCCGAUCCCUAGCCGGUCUGAGAGGAUGACGAGCAACUAUGGAACGUGGACACGGUCCAGACUCCUACGGGAGGCAGCAGUGGGCAAUAUGGCACAAUGGGCGAAAGUCUGAUGCAGCAAUGCCGCGUGUGUGAAGAAGGCCUUCGGGUUGUAAAGUACUUUCAGCGGGGCGGCGUUACCCGCAGAAGAAGCACCGGCUAACUCCGUGCCAGCAGCCGCGGUAAUUC